rnacentral:rRNA from 1 species
UACGUAGGUGGCAAGCGUUGUCCGGAAUUAUUGGGCGCAAAGCGCGCGCAGGCGGUUUCUUAAGUCUGAUGUGAAAGCCCACGGCUCAACCGUGGAGGGUCAUUGGAAACUGGGGAACUUGAGUGCAGAAGAGGAGAGUGGAAUUCCACGUGUAGCGGUGAAAUGCGUAGAGAUGUGGAGGAACACCAGUGGCGAAGGCGACUCUCUGGUCUGUAACUGACGCUGAGGCGCGAAAGCGUGGGGAGCAAACAGG